rfam:Colinus virginianus strain Texas jcf7180006224626, whole genome shotgun sequence.
UGGAUGUGAUGUGAAGUGCCACCUGACUUGCUGUGGAGGUCAAAAACUGAUUUAAUGAGGCUGAUCC